AAACCAAACAGAAAAAAAUGCUAAAACUAUUUGAACAGAAAAACCUAGAAUUUGUGAGAGCCGUCAGAUGAAUUAGGAAUUGUGAAAUAAAAGGAAAUCUAUAGAUUGGAGCAUCUCUCCCUACCUUGCACGACUCUCCUUCCCAAUAUCUCAGGAUUCUAAAAAAAAUCUCCCGAUCUCCCCGGCGGCGGCUCCCCUCCCCCCGUUCUCUCUUCUUUUCUCUUGAUGGUGGAUAGUGGGAGUUCAGGUGAUGGGGAGGAAGAGAUGGAUGAAUCAUUCUCUGGAUAUACCUGCCAUCGCCUGAUCCGCUUCUGCUGCACCCCGGUCAAAUCGACUCGCUCGGCGGAUCCUCUCGGCAACAACAGGAUACACGCACAGCUCGAAUCGAUUGAAAGCAGUAGGGGCGUGAGGCUCCUGUUUCACGUUAUUCCUUUUUCUGAAGAUAGAUUACAGGGGGUUACAUGUAUAUAAAUAUAACUAACCUAGACCUCUUACAAACCGACUAGGUAUAGGUAUCCUACACGGACACACAUGGAUGGACAGAUGAUUAACUCUACAUCGUGUAUCCUGUUCAACGACACGGGAUCUUUGUCGAUACCACCAAGGCAUCAUGUGCUGAUGGUUGUCCGGCUACAAAACAAUAGGCAUGCAGAGUGCCUCUCCAAUUUAUUGACAGCAAAUUGUGCAGACACGAGUAGUUGACUAGCCAUACUAUUGCUAAUUAAAUAUUUCACGUUGUCCAGCUGCUGAUGUUUUCUCCAUGUGUCGUUCACACGCUGCCACCGGCCAUCUGGUGGCAUGCUGUCAAUCCUCCAUAUCAGGUUCCUCUGCUGCUCUCCCAAGUCGCAACGUAUGUUUGUAAGUCAUAGCCGAAGAUGAAUGCUUCAAUCAGUAUAUAUAGUUGUCUGAUGUUACUGGAUUUAACGCAUCAAUGGUGGUCAUGGUGCACCGUACAUCAUGUAUGCAGCCCUUUUAUCAG